AGACGGAGGGUGCAAACGUUGUUCGGAAUCACUGGGCAUAAAGCGCGCGUAGGCGGUCCAUUAAGUCAGGCGUGAAAUCCCCCGGCUCAACCGGGGAACUGCGCCUGAUACUGGUGGGCUCGAGGACGGUAGGGGUGAGCGGAACUCCAGGUGGAGCGGUGAAAUGCGUAGAUAUCUGGAGGAACACCUGUGGCGAAAGCGGCUCACUGGACCGUCUCUGACGCUGAGGUGCGAAAGCUAGGGUAGCGAACGGGAUUAGAUACCCCAGUAGUCC
rnacentral:rRNA from 1 species